rnacentral:rRNA from 1 species
AUUGAACGCUGGCGGCAGGCUUAACACAUGCAAGUCGAGCGAGCGGCGGAAGGGUGAGUACUGUCUGGGAAACUGCCUGAUGGAGGGGGCUACCUACUGGAAACGGUAGCUAAUACCGCAUACCAUCAGAUGUGCCCAGAUGGGAUUAGCGAGUAGGUGGGGUAAUGGCUCACCUAGGCGACGAUCCCGAGCUGGUCUUAUAGGAUGAACAUCCACACUGGAACGGCGACACGGUCCAGACUCCGACGGGAGGCAGCAGUGGGGAAUAUUGCACAAUGGGCGAAAGCCUGAUGCAGCCAUGCCGCGUGUGUGAAGAAGGCCUUCGGGUGGUAAAGCACUUUCAUCGAGGAGGCGUUACUCGCAGAAGAAGCACCGGCUAACUCCGUGCCAGCAGCCGCGGUAAUUC